UACGUAGGGUGCAAGCGUUAAUCGGAAUUACUGGGCGUAAAGCGUGCGCAGGCGGUUUUGUAAGACUGUCGUGAAAUCCCCGGGCUUAACCUGGGAAUGGCGAUGGUGACUGCAAGGCUAGAGUUUGGCAGAGGGGGGUAGAAUUCCACGUGUAGCAGUGAAAUGCGUAGAUAUGUGGAGGAAUACCGAUGGCGAAGGCAGCCCCCUGGGCCAAUACUGACGCUCAUGCACGAAAGCGUGGGGAGCAAACAGG
rnacentral:rRNA from 1 species